rnacentral:lncRNA from 1 species
UGCAGUAACUACAUCUUGUUUCUUUUUUAGUAAUUUUUCUAUUCCUUUUCUAGUUCAUACUUUAUAAAAUAAUCCCAAGUGUUAGUUUUUUUUUUUCUUCGUCUCUUUAUUUGAGUUAUGGGCCCAACUGAUUUACUAUUUGUAUUUUCAAUAAUUUCACCAGAAGACAAUGUAUAACAACUACAUUUAAAAUGUGCAAGAAAUUUAUCUUGCAUCUCGGGUUAUGAUCAAACAAAGGAAAAAGU